GGCUGGGCCUGCUGGAGAAUACAACACAAUGGGAACUGUCUCCAAGCUGGGCUGCAGGGCCUCUAGCUAUUUGAGCUUUAACCAACUUAACGAAGACAUAGCCUCGAGCAGAGACCUUCCCUCCAGAUUUGUGGCUGUCAGGACAGAACCCCAAGGGCAGAAAACACCUAAAGAACUGCCAGUAAGCCACGUGGGUAGUAGACACGGAGAGGGAGAGGCCUGUUCAAACCGCCAUGCUGCUCGAAGUUGAUGAUCCUAGGUCCACCACACCAAGGUCCAGAACAUGACCGCGAGCCUCCGGCCACUGUGCGUUUGUCCCUCCGGAGGAGCCAGCCUGGGCCAGACACCAUGAUCCCACAGAGAGAGAAGGGAUGGGACCUUGUUGCUGAACCACGGGCCGGUACUAGGCAGCAGAGCCUGUCCAGAAACCAGAAAGGGGCCCAGCACAAACCAGGAGGUCAACCCCUCGGCCACAGCCACCCGCAGCAGCGCAGCAGAUGCAGGACUGGUUUGGCCUGACCUUGCUUACAACCUCUGGCCAGUCGGAGCCGGUCCGCACUGGUCCCGGGCGCGGAGGAGGGCUGCGUGGGCGCCAUUUUCCACCUCAGCACAGCAGGUGCAGUAUUUCACAGGCCCGCCCGGUUUCCCUAACAGGGCUGUCUCCGCAAUGUUUGAUUGCAUUUCAGUUUGGACGUCGGUAUUUCAGCAGAGGAUGGGACAGUCACAAAGACCCCUGGGUCCUGAACUAUUUUAAGGAUUUUUGCUGAGCUAUAGAAGACUCCAGUCUGGUUGUUCAUCCCAGCAAACUAACCAUCUUUUGCAGGAAUGAAUGGCCCACCAAUAAAGUAGAAUGGCCCAAGGAAGGGACUUCUCAUCUUCCCACAAUACAGGGUGAAGGUUUAGUUUAUGAGGCCAGGGGCCACAAGGACCAAGUGCCAUAUAUCACUGCACUGGCCAAGAAGCCUGCUGCUUAGAUGAGAUAUUUUUGGUUACAUGCUUUGCUGCUCCCCACCCUUCUUCCUCUAAAGGAGUGUCGGCCUUGGUCUCCUGCUCUGUUUUCCCUUUCUGCUACCAAGGAGGAUCUCUGUCCCACUCCUUGUGUUCCUGCUCCUGCUGCCACUGCCACUGCCACUGCCAGCCAGCAUAGGCAGAGGGAAGAGCAGCCCUGACUCCCCUGAGUCAUUGGCUCCACUUGGAGUCCACCUCAUACUCAGGCCCAUACUGCCCAGAAGGCUGACUCUACUAAGGCCUCACCCUCCAGGUUAUGGGAAUCCCCGGUGCUCAGGGGGGACAGUUCAUGAGAUACGUGCCAUUUGCCAGGAAUGAGCUUUACAAUUGGCAUUUGCAGAACUCCUCAUUUUUAGAAAGACCAUCAGCUCUCACAGGUCUUCUGGAUUCAAUCAUGCGGACUCAUCUGCCCACCUGCAAUGACUGUCAGCAGUUGUUCCAGGUCCUUUCAUGACAGAGGAGAGAGAGAGGAUCAUGGGAGGCACCUGGAAAUUGGUUUGGAAAGCAAAAGGGUUGCCCACUCAAGUACAGGCUGAUAUCAAUGCAACCUUUCUUUUGACUUGACCUGACUAAGAUUUUAAUACUGCUGGGGGUAAAGAGAGGCUCAGGUCUACCACCAGAUUCUGAUGGGGGGCCUCCAGAGAGCUGACAGAUGGCCCACAAAUUUAUCUAAGGUGAGCCAGGUGAUACAGGGAAAGAAUGAGAGCCCCAGGGAACAUCUAGAAAGACUUUCAGAAGUCUGUAGGACCUACACUGUUUUAGACCCAGAAGCCAGUCAGCCGUGAACAAUGGCUUUUAUUAAUCAAGCUGGCACAGACAUCCAUUGGAAAAGCUUCAUUCACUGAAUGACUUUGCAGCCUGCUUCUGGCACCCAAAAGCCAGCCUCUAUUUUCCUUUGAAUGACAAGAUUUGGAGAGGCUUCAGGAGACAACUGACUUGAACAUGUCUGCCUCAAGGAUUCAAGAACUCAGCCACCAACUUUGAUGAAGCACUGCAUGAGGACUUGGGUGAGAACCAGCAGACCCACCACCAAAUAACUGUGUUCAAUUAUGGAGAUGACAUCCUGACUGUGGGCCCCAACUUGGAGACACGCCAGGAGGCCACAGGAGACCUGCUAUAGAUGGUGAGUCAACUUAGCUACUGUCUGCUAAGAAGACCCAGCUUUGUCAACUAUGUGGGUGAUAGGAUAGCCAGCCAAUGCAUGCUGUCAGACACCCAGAAGCAAACCAUCCUUAGCAUCCCAGUUCCAUCAACCCCAAGGCAAGUAUGGGAAUUUCUAGAAUCUGUCAGGUUUUAUAGACUUUGGGUGCCAGGGUUCACUGAGAUAGCGAAACUGUUAUAUGAGGCCACUAGGGGCCAAGAACAAAAUGGACCCCUGAGAUGGACUUGGCUUUUAAGGCUCCAGGAAGAGCCUUAUUGGAAGCACCAGCCUUGGCCCUCAUGGGCAUUCACAAACCUUUCCACUUGUAUGUGGAUCAGAGAAAGGGGAGAGCAAAGGGGAUGCUCACCCAAACUUUGGGACCAUGGAAAAGACUUGUGGCUUAUUUAUCUAAGAAACUGGAGCUGGUACCCAAGGAUGGCCAGCCUGCCUCUGGAUCAUAGCUGUCAUUGCCCUGUUAGUCAAGGAUGCUGACAAAAUAACCAUGGAGCAGGAACUUGUUAUCACCACGGCCAUGCUAUUGAGGGAAUCCUCAGAAAUCCACCCAGCUGAUGACUGUCCAACACCAAACUGGUACACUUUUGAAUCCCCCUCACAUAAUAUAUAACCUAUCAUCUGUCUUAAACCCAGCCACUUGCUACCUGACCCAUCUCAGACGUGCAAUAUGAUUGCUCUAUAGUUCUGGGGCAUGUCCAGAACAUCAUGUCAGACUUAACUGACAUACUCUGGCCAGACUGGGGAACAUAUCUACUUCAUGGAUAAGAGCAGCUUCAUCCAGAAUGGAAUCAGAUAUACAAGGCAGUGAAUGGUACUGGACUUGGACUCUGUUAUUUGGGCAACUGCUUUGCCUCUGGAACUUCAGCCCAGAAAGCUGAACUAAAUGCUCUAACUCGGAUUUUAAAAGGCAAAAGGGGCCACAGGUAACAUCUACACUGAUAUAGAUAAGCCUUUGCUACAGCUCAUGCACAUGGGUCCAUAUACCAAGAGAGAGGAUUACUGGCUGCUGAAGGAAACACUAUCAAAAAUAAGGAAGGAAUACUUACUGUAUUGGACACAUUAUGGCUUGCUUUCAAAGUGGCCAUAAUUCAUUGCUCCAGGUAUCAGAAAGGGAACAUGCUAGCUGAUAAAACCAAAAGGGAGGCUACCCAAGCUUCCACUGCCAACAUCCUGGUAGCUUUGUUGCCCCCUGAGCUACCAGCCAUCCGUGAAUAUACAGCUGAAGACAGACAAUAUCAGGGGAAAUGCCAAGGAGUUCACAGAAGAGAUGGAUGGUUGCUGACCUCUGAAGGCUGCACCAUCCUACAUAAGGACUUUGUUAAGCCACUCAUCCAUCAGAUUUAUCGAGCAUUACACCUGGUCACCAAAAACUGAAGGAAUUGCUGUGAGGGGCAAGGUACAAAAUAUUUGACUUAGGACACUUGAUUGAUCAGUUAGUCUCAGACUGUGCCACCUGCCAGACUGUGAACUCCUCAGGCCCCAGUCAAGAAGCCACUCCAGGAACCAGAAUCAGGAGUCAAUGGCCAGAAGGAAGUAUUAGGAAAUAGAUUAUACAGAAAUAAAUCCAGGAACAAAUGGAUGUAAGUUUUGGCUAGUUUUAUAGAUACAUUUUCAGAAUGGGUAGAAGCCUACAAAGAAGGAGAUUGCCAACAUAAUAGCAAAGAAGCUUCUAGAAGAUAUUAUACCCAGGUAUGGUUUGCCUACCCUGCUUGGGUCUGACAAUGGACCAGCAUUCAUUUCUCAGGUAACUCAAUCUGGAGCACAGGUUCUAGGGACCAACUGGAAAUUAAAUUGUGCAUACAAACCCCAAGUUCAGGGCAAGUAGAGAGGAUGAAUUGGGCCCUGAAGGAGGCUUUAACCAAGUUAACCCCUGAAACUGUCAGUAGCCAGCUAUUCCUCUUACCUUAUGCCUUAUGUAGGGCUAGGAAUACCCCUAUGCAUUAGGCACCCCCCACUUUGAGAUUCUGUAUGGGAGGCCCCCUCCCAUGAUGCCUAACCUCCAGUCUGAUAUCUGAGCUGAAUAUGACCAACAUAAGUUUUUUAAAACUAUUGGAAGCCCUCCAUAGGGUCCAGAAGCAACUCUGGCCUGCCAUCCACCAGGCUUAUGAGUCAGUCCCCUCUGCCCCCCAAACCUCCACUGCUUUGAACCAGGUGAUGAAGUCUGGAUUAAGAGACAUAACCUCAAGGCUCUGGAACCUUGAUGUAAAUGACCUCACACCAUGAUUCUGACUACGCCUAUGGCUGUAAAAAUAGACAAGAUUGGGACAUGGAUAUACCAUUCACAUGUUAAUGCUUCACUGUGGAUAAACUGGGAGCUCUCUUACUAGCUGGGUACCCCCAAAGGGCAAUGCAACAACCUUGUCAUCAAGUUCUUGAUGGACGGCAAAAAGGAAGAUUAGAUUGUCGGUUCUUAACUCCUCUAUCCCCGAACUUAAUACAGAACUGUUGACAUGGACUCUACAUUGGAAAUGAGGUACCCCCAGCCUAUUCCCACCUCUGCAACCACACUAUAACCCCUAGUGUUGUAGGAUACAUGCUGCCCCCAGAGGAUGCUUGGUGGGCUUGUAUCUCGGGGCUUACUCCAUGCAUUUAUGGCCUGGUUGUAAAUAUAACUGAGGACUUUUAUGUUGUACCCAGAGUGACUUACUACUCUGGGGAGGAUGUCUUCAACCAGCUGUACCUCCAAAUAAUCAUGCUUAAAGGGUGGCCAUUUCCACUGUGUUACUAGGUUCUCUACAUGGCAUAGGGCUGGCCAGAGCUGCUAGUAUAGGGAUCCUCAGACCUACUACUCCAAGAUAAAAAUUACAAGAUCCUACAGAUGGUGAUAGAUGUAGAUAUAGAGGAGACAGAAAAGGCCAUUCUGUGCCUGCAGGAUUCCCUAUCCUCCCUGGCAGAAGUAGUCUUAUAGAUCAGAGGAAGCCUAGACUUGCUGUUCCUCCAGCAGAGAGGAUUCUGCAGCCUGAGGUAAAGUUGUUUCUAUGUUCAUCACUCUCAGGGGUGUUCAAAGAAUCCAUGGCCUUAGUCAGAAAGAGACUACAAGACAGAAGAAUAGAAAGAAAACAGUCUCAGGAUUAGUAUGAGUCCCUCUUCAACUGGUCUCCUUGGUCUCUGUCCUGACCAGUCCUCUUAUCCUACUGAUGUUGACCUUGACUUAUGGUCACUGCAUAAUCAAUGAGGAAUGGAUUUCCAUUGUACAAUUGAUGAUUCUCAAACAAUACCAGUCCUUAGAGACAUCUCAAGGAUUUGAGUUGACCCAAAAGGGGAAAAUGAGACAGCUGACUCCAUGACAGGCUUCAAAUUGGCAGUUCAAAAGCGUAGGCCUAAAUUUCUGUUUCUAAGAACUGGGCAAUUCCAGGCAAGUCCAGGCCUCAGAAGCUGCCCCACCACCUGGCCUGAGGCAAGGACAAUGGGUCAUCAACACUUUCCAGACUUUCCCAGCAAUGGUUCUGGAGUGUCUAUAGAGAUAGAACAGAUGAUAGAGGUCAUCUACCGCUCCCCAGAAUUCUCCUAAUGUGCUUUAAAUCAAGCCUGCAAGCACUUGAGCGUCUCUAGCUUGGAAUAGGAGAACCCAGCAUGCUGGACUUCUGCAGAAUAAAAAAACACUCUUUGCUUUAAAAAAGAAAAAAAAGAAAAACUACUGGCAAAAUCUAGUCAUAUAUAUCUAUUUUUAAAGAAAUUAAAGUAAAAAAAAUCUUCUGCCAAAUUAAUUUUUUCCUAUGUAUAUUUGUUCAGUUAGUUGACUUUCUUUACAGUUUACUUUUUGUUUUUACCCACUCUUCUAAAACAUCAAAUGGCAUGGUGAUUUCUGAUUCUAGCAUAGGAAUCCUACCAGACAGCCAAUUUCCCCAGUAGUCUUGUACUCAGAGUUGGUGGCAGACACCCAGAACAUUGCUAGACAGAGAAGUUAGCUAUUGUCUGUCCAAUUCCUGAAAGCAAACUGAUAAGCAUUCCAUGCAAAAAGCCAUUUUUCAAAGCAUAAGAUUGUUUACUCCUCCUGGAAAUGCACCCAGAAGAAAAGGCAGCGGCAGAAUAGAAUGCUAACCCUGCAUUCAUCUUUAAAGUCUAACAAAUCUAAGUCCCUAGGCAUAGUGUGAUAGACACCACUGUCAAACAUCUGUAAGGCAGGAACCUGGGGUGUCCGUAGUAUUACUGCGCACUAUAGUAUAGACCUCUGAAAAGGCCGGUGGGUUUUAGAAAGGGCACUCACACCCUUCCUACAAGACAGCUUUCCUCUGUUCUAAGCAUUUCAUCAGUCUAAACAGUUUCUGCUUCUGCACUGUAGCCAGCAGUGAGCAUGCAGUUUCAGCAGCUGUAUGCCAAGCACAGGAGAAAGCAUGGGAGCCCAGGUGUGCAAGGGCAGCCCAGGCCCAGGGAAAUCCAUUCACUGAUGAGAGUUCUUCAACCAUCCCUGAGUUAGAGGGGUGACUUACCAGAAUGAAAGGAAAUGUCCUACACUAUGGUGAUGAAGUAUGUCCUACAAACCCACAGCAAGACACUUCCAGAGUGAAAUCCAGAGGUGCCUCUGUGCAGGGGGCUUGAAAGGCACCUAGUGGGUGACUUAACUGGAAGUGUAGUGAAGUAGGUGGUGAAAGGCAGACUGCCCAUGUAGGACCUCCUGGGUUCCACUCCUGUUCUGCCCUUGGCCAACUGUGUAACCUGAGGGCAGGUUACCGACCAGCCUGGUUCAGUACUGCUGCUGAGGAGAGAACAUGAAUGGCUGGAAUCAGCGCCAGGCCAGCCAGCAUCACAGCAGCAGAACCUUCCUUCCGAGAAGAGGAAUGCAUGGACAAAACUCCUUUCCCCAGUACAGCAAAUAGUGGACUCAGUAUAAAUCCAUGCCCCAAAGUUUGUUGUUCCUAUUUCUUUAAGCAAAAGUAUCCCAAAACUUUAUCAUAAAGAAAAUCAUAAUAAAGUCUUAAAAUAUGAGUAUGUGUGUGUAAAUAGUAACUUUGAGAUAUUUAAAAACCUGCCACCUUUUCCUUUAAAAUAUGCAUGUGUAUAAAAUUGUGUGUGUGUGUGUAUGUGUGUGUGUGUGUAUGUGUGUGUGUGUAUGUGUGUGUAUGUGUGUGUGUGUAUGUGUGUGUAUGUGUGUGUGUGUGUGUGUGUGUGUGUGUUUUCACUUGACAGGAACUUAUCAAGCAAGUGAAAGCAUUUUCCGUGUCUGUGCUUUCCUGAGCCAUCUUGCACACAGUACAGUGAGAACUUGAAAAUGUAGGUUAGAGGCCUGACUACUUUGCCACAAGGAAACUGCAUGAUUCGAAUCCCAAGAGUUCCUUUUCUUCCCUGGAGAAGUCUCAAGUUUCCCACCUGAAAAAUAAAACCUUAGACAUCAUGUCCCCAGAGUCUUAGAAAGGUCACAUUGCUUGGUCCCUUGUGGUCUUCCUCUUCAAUCACUGUGGAGCUGGACAUAACUCCCAACUGUUACUUCCCACUAUUACUCCUAGCAUGUCUUCUGGCUAUUGAACAACUCCUGACAUGCUACUGUAAUUUCUUACCUAGCUCUAAGUAGCAAACAUGUAGUCUCCAAAUGAAAAUCUUCCAUUUCAUCAGAAUGGAAUCAUCCCAUUUUGGAGUGACUCAUUCUCAUACUUUCGGUAUUUACUGGAUUUUUUUUUCUGGGUUUUCCUAGCAAUGCAGGUUCUAGUAGCUUUGUGGGAAGAAGUUCUCUGUCAUUUUUCUCUGUCCUAUGUCACCUACAUUGGACAUUUAGGUGAUUUAGAGAUUAUCAAAAUAUUUUUCUCCUCCAUUUUGUUGCCUAGUCAGAUGAAAAAUAUUUUCCUUUAAUUAUUGUCUGUUUUUGCUGAUGGUUUGUGUCAACCCGCAGGUUCAGUGGACGGAAUCCUUGAGACUGGUGAGCUCUCACCACAGUGGCUUCCAGGUUUCGUGUUCUAUUAAAAUGUCCUCAGUUCUACAAUCACCUCACCAAAGCUAAAGAUGAAUUUGGUAUUGCUACAACUUAUCUGCCAAGUAUUUACAAUAAAAUAACAUCACAUAUUGUCACCAUUAUUUCACAAGAGAAAUGUAACACUAAAACCCAGGAGGAAGUCAAUGUUAGAAUAAAACAGUCCCUGGACAGAAUAAGUUAAUAACCAACCUGAUGGUCUUAUGAGCAACUGUCUACAACAGUUCCCUUAACUUUCCUCAAAUCUCCUGACCAGAGAAGAGGUGUCAGGGAUGCAUGUGUGGGCAGUGGAUGUUUAAGAGGCAGCACGCUACCCACUACAACAGUUCUCUUCUAAGGGUGAGUUUUAAUACAGGGCCCCUUGCCUCGGGUUGAAGUUUGCACUCAGCUCUGGGCUUUCUACAUAGAUUUUUAUUUUGGGAUGUUCCAGAGGACCAACUUUGCACAUGUCACAUAACCCAUGUGAUACAGACAUAACAAGCUGAACCUAGAGAUGCUCUCUCACCUCAAAAGAAUGCUCUCUCUCCACACUGCCAUUUUCUGCUUCCAUUUGUUGCAGAAUCUGCCAUUCUCCAUCUUAUAAGCUCAGGCUUCUGAAACCUUUCUUUACUCCAGGUAAAUGCAUUCUCUUUGCUCAACAUGUUUGUACCUAUCUCCCCUUAAACUUUUUAUAUUGAUAAUUCACUUUUUAAAUUUUAUUUUUCUUGGAUAUUUUAUGUAUUUACAUUUCAAAUACUAUAAUCUUUUACUUGUACCUAUUUCUACAAUAAUUAGUAAUCACAAGAUUGUGGAUGUAGAAAAAAAUCUUUUAAAAAUUUCUCUCCUUUAAAGAUUAUUAAGUUAUGGAGAAUGGCCUCAUUGAGUUGAGACAGCCACAUAAUAUUCACUACAGUGAAUUAUGACAGGUAAUGUGACCCUUUGUAUCUGCAGCCGUUACAGAAUAGAAGGUAAUGAAGUUGUAAGAUGAUAUAUUUUUACCUAUAUGAGAUUUUUUAAAGGAAAAAAUAAAGAAGUCAAAGUAAACACUGAGAAAAUAGAAGGUGAAGGGAAGAAAGGGUUUGGAAUACCACAAUCCCUACUAACACAUGUAAAAAUAUUCCUAAUGAUAUCACAUAUAAUAAUCUGUUAUGAUAAAUACAUGGAAAAGUCUUCGUUGAACAAAACCACUUUCAUACAUCAGUAAUAUAUAUCCAUCGGUUUGUCUAGUUUUUGUGGAUGAGGACUGAAUCCAGGAUUUCAUGAAUCUGAAGCAAGCGCUUUACCAAUGAGCUGUGGUCCCAGCACAUUUUAUAUGUUUAGACACUGGAAUUUGGCCUAGAAACAUCUUCUCUGAUUUUCCCCCAUAUUAAGAGCUUUUUCUUCCCACAAAAGAAAGGACUGAAGAAAUAUAACCUGGGUAAGUACAAUUCUUCACUUCAUCCCCAUCCAACAUGAACAUGCAUACAAAAUGAAUACUGAAAACUGCUAAUAUAUAGUCUCCCAGAUUAUUCCUUAAAAAUAGUCAUACUAAGUCAUACAUCUUAAGUUUUGAAGUUAGAAGAAUUCCAUCACUUACCAAAAUAAGUCCCGAUAUUAGUGAGGAAGUGCCUGUCAGGGCCACGUAGAACUUUGGGGUUAACGUGUUCAAAAACAUGCUCACUGAAAAAGAGGAAAAGAGAAAAAGCUUGAGAAAGGCAUGCCUGUAAUCAGUAAAACUUUGUUUCUUAAGAUUGUGUGUGUUUGGUAUGUAUGUGCAUGUAUGUAUGUGCUGUAGCCAUCACAUGGGUUCUAGAAACUGAACCCCUGCAAGAACAUUUAAUUCUCUUAACUACUGAGCCACCACUCUGGCACCUAACUCAUUUAUUUUUAUUCCUUGUGAAAUCACUUGUUUCUGCUGACCAGAAUUCCUAGAACCAUAGCAAAAUCCCACUAAAAUGAAGAACUAGUAUACUGAUUCAGAAAGGCAGAUGUCAAGCUCUACCCUAAAUGCUAAAAUACCUGCCAGGGAAAGUGCAAUGGUGGCAUGACUGUUAGAGGUAUAACCAGUGGUUUUCUGCUUGCAUUCGAGAAAAAAAUGUAUGCCUAGUAAUAUUAACCUGGUCAAAAACCUAUGGUUGAGGAAGGUGUAAGUCUUAGUUACCUACUGCUAUUAUUUUGCUCAAUGGAAAUGUUCUCAAAUUGCCUUCUAAAAAAUUAAUGUUUGUACCCAUAAAUUUGUCCUAUUCUCAACCUUAAUCAGAGAAACUUGUUUUUGCAGUAGGUAUCAUCAAUGCCAAGACUCAUAACUGGUCAAUGUGCUGAGAAUAAAUGACAGUUGAGUGUUUGACCGUAAAUCAGACAUUUAUUCUACCUUCAAAGAUCAGGGAACAUCACCGAAGAAAGGGGGGAAGGAAGAUGAGGACGAGUGGAUGGGGAGGAGUGCUUUCAAAUGCUGUCUUCUGGACCUGGCCAUCACGCUCAUGAACGUACAGCUGUGAUGCUCAACUGCACAUGACCUACCUAGACAAGCCAGGCAAUGUUCUUGUCCAGUUGGGAGAGGGUUUCAACCCUAGUUGGGGUGCUACUGACAAUUGAUGGCUGCUAAGGAUGGGUGAGUGAUGUCUUUUUUCCUUGUGAUAUUUCAGAGGGAAGAUAAAAGACUCUAUUAGGACUAUUUGCCGUUUUAAAUUAAGAUUAUGUGGUUCUAGUUACCUGGGACUAAAAAAUCAUUUGUAAUUAGAUACCAGAACCACUAAGUGAACCCUUUGUUUUGCUGGGGUACUUGACACUGGCCAUCUGGAGCUAAUAAAUUAGCAAUGACUAAGAAGAGACAGCAUGACUGAGAUGACAUCUGGGAAGUGCUUCCUCAGAGUCAGCACACACAAUCUGUGGUCCGGAAGCAGCCAAGGUUGUACCUUGUGCUGGCAGCUGAACUUGUUCAUGUGUAAGAGUCACCCAGGUGGUGCUAGGUUUGAAGGCACAAAGGGGUCAUACAGAGCAGCUGAGACUCAGCACUAUGAGAGACCAGGAGAGACUACUGGUAAACGUGCAGUCUCAGUAGCAGUUGGAGGCCCACAAUUAAAGGAAUCAUGCAGAGAGGUUGAGUCUUGGCAUCCUAAAGAAAGCCCAGGCUAUUGGUAAACGUGUAGCCCAGUUGUAGCAAGAGGCUCCAGCAUUGUGGAGAUGCCAGUACACCAGACCACCAAGAACAGCAGCAGUAGUACAGAGGAACGAGCAGGAGCCUAGAAGACAACUGUGUGCUGUAAAUGGUGGAGUUAGAGAAGUGACCAAAGCCCCUUGUAGGAAUCCUGAAGAUCAUGAAUGAAUCCUAGACAUUGGACAUUUAGUUAUUUACACAGUUGGAGUUUGAUUUUGCUUUGUUCAGAUUGUGAUUGUGCCGUGGUUCUUACCUUUUGGUGUAAGAAAGUGUUUAAGUUAAUUAUGGCUUUACAGGAUCACAGAGUUGUGAGAUUUCAAACUUUUAAAAGGGAUUUAUGGUUUUUAAAUAGACUAACAUGUUUGAAUUUCAAAUACAUGCAACUUUUAAGCUUAUCAGUGUGUUGUACUAUGAGUUUUAUAUUAACAUGGCAUCUUGGGGAUAAAUGAAAAGGGAAGGUUUUAACUGAAAAGUGAUGUUUGUUAAGCUGACAAGGGGCCAACCGUGCUUGCUAGUUUUAUAUCAGCUUAACACAAGUCAUCUGAGAGGAAGGAACCUCCAUAAAGAAAAUGUCUCCAUAAGAUCUGGCUGUGGGCAAACCUGGUAGAACAUUUUCUUAACCAGUGCUUGAUAUGGGGGAGGGCAUCUCAUACUAAAAUAGCAUCUGGGUGGUACCCGGGUUCUGUGAGUACAGCUUACUGACUUGCUCCACACAGUUUGCUCAGCCUCCAGGUUCCUACCAUGUAUGAGUUCCUAUCUUAUGAUCCUUCAGUGAUAGGAAGACUAAGCCAAAUCAACCCCUAACUCCCCAAGUUGCUUUGCUCGUGUUGUUUCGUCACAGCAGUAGUAGCCCUAAUAGGCAGCAAUGUCGACUCCAGCAAGUCACCAAUAUAGUAGUCUGUGAAAAUGAAAACCGACACGGGCAUCAAUAAUGAUGGCCAAUUGCAGGACGCCCAAAAUGACUGGUGAGGAAAUCCAAACCUGUACCAAGAUCAUCUUUCUUGGCCAUUCAUAAAUAAAAUAUAACUCCUGAUGCCAUUAGCAUGCGGAGAUGCGAGUCUCUGAAAAUCUGCUAAAAUGACAGCUUAGGAGAUGCUGGAAAUAAAAUAUCUUCAUAACAUACUGUAAAUAGUCUUUUUUCUAGGUGUAUUUUAUAUACAUAGCAUUUUUAUCACCUUAGGAAACCAGUUUUCUAUGCAGUCAGUUCAGUUAGGCUUAAAAGCACAAAAGGAGUCCCUCACUGCUGCUGCCCCUCCUCUCCCUGCUCUCCUGCCCCCCUUGUGUUGGCUCUCAAGCUUUUAUGCCUCACAGUCCUCUUGAGAAAUGCUAUGGCAUUUAUCUUUGUGAGGAAGAAGUGAGGAGACUUAUUUUUAGACUCAUCACUAAGGUAAGAACCCCUCAUAAAUCAUCCUGUCUACUCUUCCUCAACCCUUGAUGCUGCCCUGGCAUCUGUACAGGGAUCCUGUUUCUGCUUUACAGAGCAGCCAGCUCCAUGGGGGAGCUGAGCUUAACACAUUUCUUCUCUCGGCUGUGGUCUGGGAAAGUACUGUUGGAGUGUGCUAUAUUAGUAUGAACAACAGCAGUGCUAGGUUUUCACGCCACCUUCUCCCUUGCUAGGGAGAGGCCAUGACAGCUUUUCCUGUCAUCAGGAAGGACUGGCCAAAGCCUGAAUAACCCUAAAGAAAAGUGAAGCAAGAUCUCCAAUGGUGGGUUUCCUUUCACCCACCUACAAAUAGGUUCCUACAAAUAGGCACUGUGAAGAACAGCAUCCUGAUGGAAAACCAAACAAAAACUUGUACAUUUCAUUUUCUCAGAUAUUUAUGGUAUGUUUUAAGCUAAGAUUGAAGAUGAUUUUUAAAGUUAAAUAUAAAUAUAGCAAUAAUAAGUCUCUAAUGCCUGGGACUUUAUAUUUCCUCCUCCUCCUCCUCCUCUUCCUCCUCCUUUCUUUCUUUCUCCCCCAUCCUCUCCCCCUCCCCUUCUCCCCUCUCCGUCUCCCUUUUCUCCUCUCCCUCCUCUCCCUCUCUGUGGUCUGUGUGUUUUUUCCAAAAUUUGAAUGCAGGGCGAGAUGCAUGUUAGGUUCAAUGACUACAUUCUUGAUAAGCCAAGAAUUUACCUAGAUAUCAUAAGAUACUAUGCCAAGAGAGGAAGACACUGGCUAUACAGAACCCUUAAAAUUAGUCAUCUGGGAGGAAAGGAAGGGAGAAAUGAUAUAACUAUAUUAUAAACUAAAAGACAAUGGGAUAAUGAUUUACAUACUAAAGUCCAAAGACACUUGUCUUGUUAAAGCAAUUUCCAUGCAAUUUUUUUUCAAAAUACAAUGUGUGUAUUUAACUUUACCCUUAAACAGAAUGUCUUUAACAUAUUUCAAUCUUUCAGCAGUAGCUCUACCAAAAUAGACACCAACUGUAGUACCAAUAGCAUGUAGCAAUGUAUUCUGAAACUGAACACUAUUUUCUUCCAAAACUAAGUGAUUUGGGACAGAAAUACUCAAGUCUUUUCAUGCUCUUGGUUAAUUUUUCAUUUCAUGCCUGCUCUCAUAUGUUUUCUCUCCUUUAUGAUGUGCUAUUUAAAAUCUGUUGUAAAUUCAAAGGCAGAUAAUCAGUUGUAGCUCAAUGAACUACGUAUGUCCAGUGUAUAUCAGGCACUGUGUAAAGUGUUGAGGAGUCAAACAGGUUGACAUACAAUUCUUGUCUUUAAGGAACUUUGUGUAAUUCUGAGAAGCAGACAUGCUAUUAUGAUUCCAAGUGCCGCUGAGGUACUCUUUACUUAGCUCUGGCCGGGUGGGAGAAAAUGGGCAUCAAUGUGCUCCUUUGAGAAAGCUUCAAAAAUAGUGUUGCAAAGCACAUGCACUAGAAGCAUGCAAAAUAAGAGCUGUGAUUGACAGCCAAAAUUAAAGGGUCUUUGGUAAUCCUUUGAGGCUCUUCUGUGUGCAAUCUAUGCAUUGGCUUUUUUCUUAUAGACUGAGGAAUUGAAAAGGCUAGACUGCUGAAUUCUUGACAAGCAGAGAAUCACUGGAGUGAAUGACACUUAGUCUCAUAGACAGCUGUGUGAGUGAUGGAAAAGAACACUCCCAGACUCUCCAGUGUUCACACUGGAGGGCACCCAGAGUGUCAGCCAUGCAGAACAUACUGGAGCUUUCUUCUGCUUCAGGGGAAUUUGGUCACUGACUUUUCAUUUACCCCUCCUUCAUUGGAAGUUACACAGAAAAUAUUAUUGGAAUAUCAGUGGUUAUGCUUAGGAAAACAGCACACUCUAAGUUGAAUACAGGAACUCAUUACUUAAAGUGCCCAACGGAGGUUCACCAUAUUGUUAAUCUACUAUAGCAAAUAAGUUAAAUAUAAAAUUCAUUGAAAUAACAAGAAAGGCAAGAAGUACAUUAACAAGAGCACGGGGGUGGGGGGCAUCUGUACUCGGAAAUACUUCUUGAUAGAUCUUGUAUAUCUAUUAAUAUUAGCUAGUUCAUUUAGUUAUAUGGUACUUAGUUCAUCAAAAGUAAGCUACAGAUCCAGCACUGAGAGUAAUAUAUAAGAAAUUAAAAUAAUGAGGCUGAGCAUGUGCUUUUUAAAAAUUAUUUUUAUUUUUGACAAUUUCAUAAAUGAAUACAAUGUGUUUAAACAUGUGUCUCCUUUUAUCUUCUUUUAUCCCACUGACCCCCUCUUUCUUCUGAAUUUGUACACACACACACACACACACACACACACACACACACACUCCUUUAGAGAGAAAAAUUAGAUGCCCAGGUAAAGUCCCAGGAUAGUUCAUAUACCAGCAGAAAUGUUUAGAUAAAAUCUAGAGGGAGCAGGUAUUGUCUCCAACUCAAUAGGUGAGAAUGUUGCUUCUUCCAGGCUGUGAAAGGGUUACCCCCAAACAUGAGAUUAAAGUGGAGAAAAGGGCUCUCAGUAGACAAGACAAUGUGCAUGUACACAGAAAGGAAUCAGGCUAGAGAAUAAGGUACAUUUGGAGGCAGAGUAAAAGAAAGGCCAGGUCAGGUAGACUUUCUAUUUGUUAGAGGUGCUGGAGACCAAACGGAAAACCUCACACAUGCUAUUCAAGGGCUCUACCACUGAGUUACAGCAGACUCCCAAGCAAGGCAAAGAAGGUAUUUACUGUUCCUAAACUGAAUCCUGUGGAAGACAGUGGUGCCUGAUAGAAACAGGGUAUCAAGUCAGACUGACAACUUUGAGAACUACUUCCCAGGAAGUUCCUGAAAUACAACUAACACUACAGGAGCAAGCUUAAGAGGUGUGUGUGGCGCUUGACAGUAUCAGAUAAAGAGUGAGCAUCUAGGUAACAUUGUUGAAGUGAGGACAAGGUCACACUGCCAGUGAGUAGAGACAGUCAGUGUUGGGCUUUUGUACAGGAAAUCAGGCCAUAAACAAUCCAUCAUGAUAUGAGACCUAAGAGAAUACAAUAUGAGUAUCAGAGUAAAACCCUUGUUCCAUACUGGGAACAGGAGCCCUUUGAAGAAACAAACACUUCUCUAUUCUCACACUACAGGUUUAAUUACUAGAAAUGCAUCAACUGUUCUGAAAGUCUUCUUGUUAUACAUGCCUUUAAGAAAACUUACAACUGGGUGAAGGUGGAACAUUUCAACUGAUUUGAUUUUAAACCUAAUAACUACAUGUAUGUAUAUUCCUUUCUUAACAGAUGAGACUACAUGACCACACAAAAACACCUUUCUGUUUCAUUCUGUUCUUUGUGCUAUUAAAUGAUUGGCCUGAUUUGUUUUAAAAUCCUUUGCUAACUCACCUUGCCUCAAAGUAAGGUGACAGUUUGGACACAGAAGCAACUACAGGCCACAGGGUGGUAAAGCUCAAUAUUAAUUCAAGGUACAUUAUUUCUUAUACUUUUUUAUUUUCUUUCUUUCUUUCUUUCUUUCUUCCCUUCCUUCCUUCCUUCUUUUUUCAUUCCCUGAAAACUUAGUAAUUAGUUUACUUCUCUAUGGGUGGAACCUGGCCCCCAGAAGAACUGCUUGGAGCUUGUUGUGUAUGAUCCAGAGAAUGAUCUAGAAUAUCAUUCACUGUUGUGAAUGAGUGGAUUUAUUAAGUUCUAAACCAUGAGGGAAGGGAAUGAGAAACAUCAUCUAAUUGAGUACUUACAGUAUCCAGCAGAAAAUCACUAGGGAACCCAUUUAAAGUGGCCAGAUAGAGUUUGCAGCAGAUUCCCAAGCGAAGCCAAGUGUCCCUUCCCAUGAGAUUUCUGAGUAACC